GGUUGCUUGUUGGCGCUCCCCUUGAAUUCACAGGGGAACUUCAGACUGGUGAUGUGUACAAAUGUCCACUUGAUAUCAAAAGCUCUGCAAACUGCAGUCGGCUUGACCUGGGAAAACAUUCCCGGGACAACGUGGCCGAAAGAAAGGACAAGAUGAGAUUAGGAAUGUCCCUGACCUCCAACUCCAAAGAUAGCAGCUUUGUGAGCUGUGGUCCUCUUUGGUCUCACGAAUGUGGAAGUUCUCUGUACAGCACUGGAAUCUGCCUCAGAGCCAACCGCAACUUCAGACUCACCCAGACUAUUGCUCCUGCUCUACAGAGUGAG